rnacentral:lncRNA from 1 species
UUUUAUCUGAAACUUUUGCAUGUAAGCGUCCGUGUUACCUUUUUGCCUGACAUACAUUAACAACUUCUGAGCAACAUUAUCUAUAUUAAUUGAACUUCGAAAAUGGACCUGUGCUUAAAGUAUAUCUAUAUUAAUUAGGUGAAUCUCAUUCAUGCAUGAGGUCCUUUGUGUAGAGGCAAAUUUGCGUAACACAGAUGGUUCAUAUUGUUGAAGUGAAUGAUUUAGGAACCUGUCAUGUAGGGGACUUUUCACUGUGACUAGGGGUGGUAAUGGAUCGUGAUCCAAAUGGUUCUUCACAAAAUGUCAAGACCCUAAAUAAAUUAUAGUUCAAAAAUGACUAGAAAUAGAGUCCGAUCCUAACCCGAUUCGAUCCUUAAAUCUUAUAAUGCAAAAUUUAUAGCUCAUUGUCAGCCCUACCUGUGACACUUCUCCAUGAGAAGAGAAAGGUCCUGUAUAUUUUCCUUUCAUUUCGUCAAUGUUUUGGCCAAACAACGUUCAAAAUAAAUGUAGGCAGGAUAAAAAAUUUGUCAGAAGGAGAUAUCUAAUGGUUAUUUGCUUUGGAUUGGCUAAUCAGGGAGUUCAAGGAUGACGAUUGAUGAAGGUUUUAUUGCCAUCUUUGGUAGUAUAUGUCAAAGAUGUAACAUCACGUCUAAUUUGAGGACAAAGUUGCGGACUCAGAAGAGAUGUACCUAUCAGCCAUAGGAAUCAUCUGAUUGUUUUGUGUUUAUAUGUUCCAGUUUG